CAUUAGAUGACUGAAAGCAAGUAUUAAUUUUUUAAAUUAUUAUAUAGUAAAUUAGCACUUACUUCUAAUGA
rnacentral:tRNA from 1 species